rnacentral:rRNA from 1 species
GACGAACGCUGGUGGCGUGCUUAACACAUGCAAGUCGAACGGAAAGGCCCUGCUUUUGUGGGGUGCUCGAGUGGCGAACGGGUGAGUAACACGUGAGUAACCUGCCCUUGACUUUGGGAUAACUUCAGGAAACUGGGGCUAAUACCGGAUAGGAGCUCCUGCUGCAUGGUGGGGGUUGGAAAGUUUCGGCGGUUGGGGAUGGACUCGCGGCUUAUCAGCUUGUUGGUGGGGUAGUGGCUUACCAAGGCUUUGACGGGUAGCCGGCCUGAGAGGGUGACCGGCGACAAUGGGACUGAGAUACGGCCCAGACUCCUACGGGAGGCAACAGUGGGGAAUAUUGCACAAUGGGCGGGAGCCUGAUGCAGCAACGCCGCGUGCGGGAUGACGGCCUUCGGGUUGUAAACCGCUUUCGCCUGUGACGAAGCGUGAGUGACGGUAAUGGGUAAAGAAGCACCGGCUAACUACGUG